AAGGAUCAUUAAAAUAAGUGCUCUUUAACUUUUAGUUAAGAGACUACACCACUAUCCCAUCUCAUUCUUAAGCUAAAAUUUAAGGAGUAGAUGUGGCUAUUGUGUCCACCCAAUUGUGAAACUUCAAUUUUGCUUCGGCAGCACUCUUAGUGGGCAACCACUAGAGGGGUAAGGCUGUCAGAGGCCCAUAUCAAAACCAGUUGAUGAAAUGUCAUGCUGUCUGAUAUCAUACUAUUUUGAGAAAUCAAAUUAUAUUAAAACUUUCAGCAACGGAUCUCUUGGUUCUC
rnacentral:misc_RNA from 1 species